rnacentral:rRNA from 1 species
CCUACGGGAGGCAGCAGUGGGGAAUAUUGGACAAUGGGGGGAACCCUGAUCCAGCGACGCCGCGUGAGUGAAGAAGUAUUUCGGUAUGUAAAGCUCUAUCAGCAGGGAAGAAAGAAAUGACGGUACCUGACUAAGAAGCCCCGGCUAACUACGUGCCAGCAGCCGCGGUAAUACGGAGGGGGCAAGCGUUAUCCGGAUUUACUGGGUGUAAAGGGAGCGUAGACGGCGAUGCAAGUCUGAAGUGAAAGGCGGGGGCCCAACCCCCGGACUGCUUUGGAAACUGUAUGGCUGGAGUGCAGGAGAGGUAAGUGGAAUUCCUAGUGUAGCGGGGAAAUGCGUAGAUAUUAGGAGGAACACCAGUGGCGAAGGCGGCUUACUGGACUGUAACUGACGUUGAGGCUCGAAAGCGUGGGGAGCAAACAGGAUUAGAUACCCGUGUAGUC